rnacentral:rRNA from 1 species
GGACAACUCACCAGGCCCGGACACCGUAAGGAUUGACAGACUGAUAGCUCUCUCUUGAUUCAGUGGGUGGUGGUGCAUGGCCGUUCUUAGUUGGUUGAGUGAUUUGUCUUGUUAAUUCCGAUAACGAACGAGACUCUGUCCUGCUAAAUAGUGUCUGCUUCUCUUUCGAGCAGACAAUUCUUCUUAGAGGGACUGACGACUCUUAGUCGCAUGAGCAAUAA